UAGUCCCUGCCGUGUUCGUGACUUGGCCAUACAUUCCUUGAACCAAUGCUUAUGGCAUACAGGUUGCUGGAUUGACAAGUAGGCGUGACUGCCAUUUUUAUGGUGUUCCCGAAGCUUGACUGAAGGCGACCACCUUGGACCUCAGGUUCCAGGAUGCCGGCCUAGACGGCACAGGCGGGGCAAUU
rnacentral:other from 2 species